UACGAGGGGGGCAAAUGUUGUUCGGAAUUACUGGGCGUAAAGGGCGCGUAGGCGGCCAGCACAAGUCAGUUGUGAAAUCUCCGGGCUUAACUCGGAAAGGUCAACUGAUACUGUGCGGCUAGAGUGCGGAAGGGGCAACUGGAAUUCUCGGUGUAGCGGUGAAAUGCGUAGAUAUCGAGAGGAACACCUGCGGCGAAGGCGGGUUGCUGGGCCGACACUGACGCUGAUGCGCGAAAGCCAGGGGAGCGAACGGG
rnacentral:rRNA from 1 species